AUACAAUCUCCUCACUCGCUUUGC
rnacentral:siRNA from 1 species